GAAUAAUACAUCAAUUAUUGGUUAGGUGUUAAGUGGUUGCUUCAAUGCUCUGCCUACUGUAGGUGAUGUCACCGGGGCCAUGAGAAUCUCCCACGGUUUCCCGGCGCCAUCUUGGUGCACGAGGUAGUUAGUCGAUGUUAGAAGGGAGAAAGGAAGGGGGAGGGGGAAGGAGCUAGAAGCUUCUAGCAGCCAUCUUGAUUAUAACGUGUGUGCUUAGCUAUAUAUGUAUAUAUCGUGAAAUGAGUAAAUAGACAUUUUUCACUAACUAGGAAAUAUGUGUAGACCUUAUUUCCACAACAGUCCCCCCUAAAAUGGCUAUUUACCAUAACAACUGCUACUGUCCCUAAUAUGUCCCUAGUUGCCUGCAACCUAUCUGUCUUAACAAGCAUCGAACACUUCACUCCGUGGGUAACCCGCGGUGACUAGUCCACCACAUCUCCACACGUGAGACUUGCCAGUUAAGACAGACGCUUUCCCUAUACUGUCCCUACAGGAAAGCAGUUGUCUGUUUGAACUGAUGUGAUUGAAGGGGUGUAUGUGGAGUAUCAUCUUCGAGGUCUGUGAUGUCUUGGUGUAUGAAAGUAGGGGUCACGCCAUCUAUAGUCUUGUCUACCGCUUUCUGUAAGUAGUUCUGUAUGCAGGGGAAUAUGCAACAGGUCAAAAAUAAGAAAAUGACGAUCAUUAUGAGAACAGCUGUCCCCACCUGGAAGAGGGUCCUUUGCCAACCAUUCAUCCAUCCAAACCAUCUGUCCCAAGUGUCAGUGACUCCUGAAUUUUUCUUUAGCUCGUCUGCAAGACUAUCUAGCUUUUCUAUGGCCAUAGUCACCUUACCAUUGGGUCCAGUGUUGUCUGGAAUGUAUGUGCAGCAUGUCAUGGUCUCAGGGAGGAUUUUACAUACACCCCCUUUCUCAGCUAAUAUCAUAUCUAGGGCCAUUCUGUUCUGAAAUGUCAUUUGGGUAGUGGCUUGCAGUUGCUCUGCCAGGCCCUGUAGGGCAUCCCUAGUGUAGUUGACAAAGCGCUGUUGAUUAUAGUAAAUGUAGUUAAUCCAAUUGACAUUUUUAUUAGCAGUUAUCAUUGGAAUUAGGGAUUCAAAUCCUGCAGCCACUUCAUCUCUUGCCUUGAAUUCGUUAGGCACCCCCCUUGGCACACCUAUGGCAUCAAUAUACACAUGGGGGUCGAAGCUCCCUUGGAUAGGAGUCUCUCGUUUAGUUCUAGAGUGUACAUGUGUAAGGUUUAACGUGUUAUGGUCACCAUCUGGAAUGAUAUGGAUAGGCAUUAUGACUUUAGUUAGGGCACACUCCCCCCACCAUUGCCCAGUUAAUUGGGACCUCAAUUGUUUAUCACCACAUAACCAGUAGAUAUCACCGAUUGUCUUUGUGUGAUUCAUUAGCAGUGAUAUGGGUGGAUUAUGGUAAGUUGAACAGUAUCCUGAUGGGAAUUUGCCCAGAUACAAACCGGUGUUCUUAGAUAUUGUGUAACAUGUGUAAUUACCUGGGUAGAUGGUGACUCCAUCAGGUGGUUUUACAUGUCCAUGAGUGAUCGGGUAAAUUCUCUUCCAUGAUUCACAUGUUGAGGAGUUGGUGAUGGACUGUGUGUAAAGACUCAGAACACAUGACUCUACUUCAGGAGGUAAGUUCAGAGGAACUGUGCCCAGAUGGGGUCUGGCUCCUCCACACACGUAACAAUUAGUUCUAUUGUGUGAGUUGGCAUUGUACCUCAUCCAUUCUAGCCACAAAUUAGUGUCUGAAAAACCAGUCUCCACUGCCAUAGUGUCUUCAAAGGUGGGGUUGGCUAUAGCUACCAUCUCAUGUAGGGUCUUAAUAUGUGGUUUUAAUGGGUUAACGAUCAUGUGAGUGGUCCCUACCCAGUCUGGGGAGGUGAGCAUGUCUUGUAGGUAAAACGUCCCCAAUGCAUUAUGUGAGCCACCUCCCUUCCAGUACAUCCCCAUCACAUAUUCCACCGCGUCCCUUGGACUAGGGUGCUCUAUAUUUAGGGUAAGUUUAAUGGGAGUUGACCCUGUGGGUUUACUCAGAGUCAUUCUAGAAAGUAGGGGCUUCCCGUCUUUGUCAAGUCUGUCUAGUGCAACCUGAGGUCUGUAGCCCCAUGGUCUACCUGUAUUCCACCCGGCAGCUUUCCAUGAACUACAAUGGUGUCCCCAGGCUCCUCCAGUCACACAAAUGUAUGGGUCCUUUUUGUUGGGUAUGUCUUUGUAUAUGGCUGCAUGUUGUGUCUGCGGGAAUGUACAAGUAACUAUGUCACAGUAAUCAAAGGUGUAUGUGGCCACAUCAGUAUUAGAAGAGUUGUACCAGAAAGUGUAAACGUGAUUAUCUUUGGUUAUGGCCACUUGCUGGGCCCAGGCAAAGUGCAACAACACAAGAAAACACAAGACACAUAAUAAAUUCAUGUUUCAACAGGAUCAGCUUCUUCUGGAGCAGGCACUUUUUUGCAAUGUGAAGCGUGUAUCCAGGAACUUUUCCCAGCUAGUUUAACUGACGUUGCUGUAAUCAGGAGGAGCACUUGAUAAGGACCAUCAAAUCUUGGUUCUAGGGUGUGUUUUCUGAGGAACUUCUUAACCAUAACCCAAUCACCCGGAAGCAGCUUGUGUGUACCUGUAUUCGACUCAGGAUCUGGAAUAGAAGAAAACACUUGGGC